rnacentral:misc_RNA from 1 species
AGAUUUGUAGAAACAUAGAAAAUUAUAUAUGGAAAGUUGAGAGACAAAGUGAGACAUAGCAACUCAAAACUCCCAAACCAGAAACAAAACAUGAGGAAGAGCCACUGCCCCCAUUUGGACCAAAAAACAAUGACGUAACGGACUGUUACCAUCACUUAACGGUAAAUAAUAGCCGUUACCAUUGCGUAAAGGCCAUUAUGGCCGUUAUAGAUGCAUUUUUUCUGUUGCCUUUAAAUAACGGGUGUAACAGUAAUGAAAGGCUAAAAAACUAUUAAAUAACAACCAUUACGUUAACCAUGAUAUACACUAAAAAUAUCCCAAAAUACUAUUCAUAGGAACAAUGGUUUUAGGGUUUUUUUUUUCUUUUUUUACUUUUUUUCUAUAAGCCUUUUUUUUAAUUAUUUACUUUUUAUAAAAAAUUCUAACCACUAUUAACAAAUUCAAUUUGAGAUAUUAAGACAUAAUAAAAUCUAUCAACUAAUUAGUGAUAUAUUGACCCUUUUUUUUUCUUUAAUGAAUCAAAAGCAUUUAAAACACUUUGUAUAAAAUUCAAACUGCAAAAGCUUCAAUUUUAAGAUUGGCACUAUUCCAUUAUUUCUUUUACUUGGUGAACUACAAUUUAGUCCAUGAGCUUUGAUUAAACCUACAACUUAAUCCCUAUAGGUUUAAAACCAAGUAAUUUAAUCAUUGACAUUUUAAUAAACCUACAAGUUAGUCCCUGCCAUUAGAAUCACCGUUAAUUCCUCAUUAAAUUUAGCAAAAAUGAUCAAAAUGCCCUACCUCGAUUUUCAAGCCAAAAACAAUUUAGUCCUAGAGAUUUUGUUUUAAUAAAGAUUUAGUCCCCAUACUUUUAACAUGUGAAUCCCAUUAAAUUAAAAAUUUUAAAUUUAAAUUGUAAAUAUUAAAAAUAAGGAUUAAUUACUUUAAGGUUCUUAAAAAUUUUGAUUAAUUACAAAAUUAUCCAUAUAUUUUACAAAUUGAUCCUUAGAUAUUAUAACUAUUUACAAUAAGUCAUUACAAUUUUGUAAAAUUCUAUUUAUUUCAUUAUUAUUUUAGUCAUAUAUAAAUAAUUG